GGGGCUGAAUUUAGCUCGACGUUUGGACUUUAACAGAUUUAGAUGGCAGGCCGGGUCGAUCUGCACGUUAGCCGGAUCAUCAAUAUAGAUGCCAAAACAUCUAUCCGCGAAAAGUUGGCUAUGUUGAAUCCUUGCAACCAGCUGGCUUUCGCAACAGUUCGCGCUUAAUAUCCGCGGACCGUGCUGACUUACAACGCCAGAUAGUAAGUUAGCGCGUCAUAUCAUCUGGUUGCUCUAAACUUUAGUGGCCCACUGGAGUUUAGCUAAGACUGCCGGGCAACAAACCGGUUCGCUUUUGGCCGUUUUUAUGGAUCGGUUUGUAUAAGUUUAAGCGGCCUAAGCCUGUAGUCAUCGGAUUUGUUACCAAUCGGACGCGGGUUCAUUGCCCGCCAGCUCCACCA
rnacentral:tmRNA from 1 species